AGAGUUUGAUCCUGGCUCAGAUUGAACGCUGGCGGCAGGCCUAACACAUGCAAGUCGAGCGGUAACAGAUCCAGCUUGCUGGAUGCUGACGAGCGGCGGACGGGUGAGUAAUGCAUACGAAUCUGCCCGAUAGUGGGGGAUAACCUGGGGAUACCCAGGCUAAUACCGCAUACGUCCUACGGGAUAAAGGGGGCUCCGGCUCCCGCUAUGGGAUAAGCCUAUGUCGGAUUAGCUAGUUGGUGAGGUAACGGCUCACCAAGGCCACGAUCCGUAUCUGGUCUGAGAAGAUGAUCAGCCACAUCGGGACUGAAACACAGCCCGAACUCCUACGGGAGGCAGCAGUGGGGAAUAUUGGACUAUGAGGGCAACCUGAUCCACCAUGCCGCGUGUGUUGAAGAAGGCCCUCGGGUUGUAAAGCACUUUCAGCGAGGAAGAACGCCUAGCGGUUAAUACCCGCUAGGAAAGACAUCACUCGCAGAAGAAGCACCGGCUAACUCCGUGCCAGCAGCCGCGGUAAUACGGAGGGUGCAAGCGUUAGUCGGAAUUACUGGGCGUAAAGCGCGCGUAUGUGGCUUGAUAAGCCGGUUGUGAAAGCCCCGGGCUCAACCUGGGAACGGCAUCCGGAACUGUCAAGCUAGAGUGCAAGAGAGGAAGGUAGAAUUCCCGGUGUACCGGUGAAAUGCGUAAAGAUCGGGAAGAAUACCAGUGGCGAAUGCGGCCUUCUGGACUGACACUGACACUGAAGUGCGAAAGCGUUGGUUACCGACA
rnacentral:rRNA from 1 species